rnacentral:lncRNA from 1 species
UUUGUUAGUGUAUUUUAAAUUUUCGGUAUGUUAUAAUUAAUUUCAGAAAUUUGAAAUUUAUUAAUUGAUAUCGAAAAUUUUAAUCAAAGUGAAAUUUUUGGUAGUGUUAUUUGAAAUUUUAAAUGCUCAGGAUUUUGUUGACAGUUUUGGAUGGUUGUGAUUGCGCCGACAAUUUUGAGUGUUCCAGAGUAAAUGCAAAGUUGUAUAAAUAGGGGAGUGACAUGUUGUUUGAUAAAAACAUCUCAAAAAAUGCAUAUUCCUCAAUUUUUGAUUAUGUCAGAAGUGUACUUCAACGGAGCUUCACCUCCCGUAGAGCUCCGACCUCUAAAUGACACCACAUCUCUCGCCGAACUAACGUCUAAGUUGAAUGAAUUGUUGCCCGAUACCAAAAACAAAAAGGUGAGAAAGAUCGAGUUUAGUGAAGAUUGAAUUGAUACUGACAGGAGGGUGAAAUACAACUUUAUUGGGUUGAAGACAAAUGAAGAUGUGAAGGAUAUGUGGAGAUCAUUUCGCCGUAGAAUAAUAAAGGGGUUGAUCGAGUUAGAUGCUAAGAUUUCAAAGUUUGUCGACGACAUAUUGAAGAUGAUGAAACAUCCAGAAUCAUCUGGUAGUGUAUAAGUUUUCUUAUUUAUCGUCUUUUUUAAGUUAUGAUUAAGUUAUGUAAUCGUUUAUCAAAUGUUAGUUUAUGUUUAUGUUGCAUGAAUGGAAGAUCAAAAAUAUUAUCUAAUAAAAAAGUUUCUGAUGAA